GACGAACGCUGGCGGCGUGCUUAACACAUGCAAGUCGAACGGAAAGGCCCUGCUUUUGUGGGGUGCUCGAGUGGCGAACGGGUGAGUAACACGUGAGUAACCUGCCCUUGACUUUGGGAUAACUUCAGGAAACUGGGGCUAAUACCGGAUAGGAGCUCCUGAUGCAUGGUGGGGGUUGGAAAGUUUCGGCGGUUGGGGAUGGACUCGCGGCUUAUCAGCUUGUUGGUGGGGUAGUGGCUUACCAAGGCUUUGACGGGUAGCCGGCCUGAGAGGGUGACCGGCCACAUUGGGACUGAGAGACGGCCCAGACGCCUACGGGAGGCAGCAGUGGGGAGUAUGGCACAAUGGGCGGGAGCCUGAGACAGCGACGCCGCGUGCGGGAUGACGGCCUUCGGGUUGUAAACCGCUUUCGCCGGUGACGAAGCGUGAGUGACGGUAAUGAGUAAGAAAGCACCGGCUAACUACGUG
rnacentral:rRNA from 1 species